CAUUGGCUCUCCUGAGUCUUCAGAUUACUGAUGACAAGCUGUGGGACUUAGUCUCCAUAAGCCAAAUACCUAUAAAAUUGUACGUGUGUAUGUGUGUGUGUGAGUGUGUGUGUGUAUCAGACAGGAUGUACAUAGAUAGGUGAGUGUGUGUUUGUAUGUAUGCAUAUAUAUUGAUAUGAUUCUAUUUCUCUGGAGAACCCAGACUGAUACUGAGAUGAUUAAUAAUUAAGUUAUCAUUAAAAUAACUCUAAGCUUUUUUAAUAUGCCAUUUAAAUACAUUUGAAUGAAAUGGGUCAAAGAUUGUUUUGGAUUUUAAACCAAGGAUGAAUUAUAAUUUGGUCUUUGUUAUGAUUUUCUUUGGAAAGGUGUUAUGUCGUUGAGUCAGUUAAAAGUGAAAUUUACUCAUAAUCCUUGGUCAAGGGUUUUAUAACCCUUUCAUCUUUGAAUUACUUAUAACUUAUUUUAGAAUUAUUGCUCCUCAUGUAACAGAGCUAUAAUUAAUGAGUUUUACCAAGUCUGUUUCGUGAGUCUGUAAAUCUAGGGGGACAUAUGUUUCCAUAUACCAUCUGAUGUUCUAAAAAUGCUUGUCUAGGUUAUUGGCUUCCCACCUCAGUCAUUCUGUUCCCUUAUGGAAUUCUGAAAUUAUCAUGUCUAUAAUUUACCGUAAUUUCAAUUAUAGUAGGUACUGGUGGAAUCACCUGACUUUUCUUAUCUCGUUGCCUAAACAUCCUUCUUAGGAAUAAGAGCUUCUCAGGCCUGAGCUGAAUUCCAGAAUCCAGAGCUAAUCUGAGUCAGCUGACUCUGAUCAAUGGUAGAGCUCCUCCGUGGCCUUUGGAAGCUUCAUUUCAGGUUCUGGGAUUCAUGUGCAGAUCAUGCAGCAUUGUGGCAUAGGUACAAGCACAUAAACGUCUUUGUGAAGAACUUACUGUAUGACACUGAAGAGGAUCCCAAUUAUUCCAGCUGUUAAAUGGAGUAGAUCAAAAGACUGAUUAAAUGUAAUGGAUUCCAAAAAUGCCUGGCACAUAGUAAGUACUAUAUAUUUAGACUUAAACUGCUAAGAUUAAUUAUAACUGUUAUUAAAUAAAUAUCUAUAAACUCUACCUAUGAAAUAAGCAUGGUAUUCAGUUUUUUUCCCCAGAGUUUUAUUCCAACUAUAGUUCUGAGGAUCUCCAGGGUUACUUACAUUUGUCAUUGAAUCAGUUUUCUCAUGGCCUCCUGGCAUAACCUGCCAGGAAAUUGAGUGUCCUGAUUAGGCUAGAUUCUCAAAACAGUGACCAUCUGAUCUCAUUUUCCUUCAUCAUUCUGGCCUCAUUCUCAGGACAGAACAAGACAAACCAUUAUCCCUGAAACCCAGUGGUUCCAGUGUGAUGGCCACUUCUGAUACAUGUUUACGUGGAUAAACAUAGUUCCUUGAAGAAUGAAUAAUAAUACUCUUUUCAGUGUGAUACCCAGGGAUGGCCACAGAGACUUCCCCUGUGUUAUAACUUUUUAUAAUUAAUCAUCCUCAAGUCUUGAGUGUGUUACUAAUGCUCAAGUGGUAUUUAUAUUUUUUCUAGAGGUGCGGUGGGAG
ensembl:lncRNA